rnacentral:antisense_RNA from 1 species
CUUGAUGGAGCUCAGCCACAGGGGUCGCCCCUCAGGCCGCUCCUGGCCGUACGUCGCCAACAACGCCUGCGCCUC